rnacentral:rRNA from 1 species
GUAGGGAAUAUUGGGCAAUGGAGGCAACUCUGACCCAGCCAUGCCGCGUGCAGGAAGACGGUCCUCUGGAUUGUAAACUGCUUUUGAAUGGGAAGAAACGUAGCUUUGCGAAGCUAUUUGACGGUACUAUUAGAAUAAGCACCGGCUAACUCCGUGCCAGCAGCCGCGGUAAUACGGAGGGUGCAAGCGUUAUCCGGAUUUAUUGGGUUUAAAGGGUGCGUAGGCGGCUUUAUAAGUCUGGGGUUAAAGGCGGCAGCUUAACUGUACGCAUGCCCUGGAAACUGUGAAGCUUGAGUGACUUGGAGGUAGCUAGAAUUCCCUGUGUAGCGGUGAAAUGCAUAGAUACGGGGAGGAAUACCGAUUGCGAAGGCAUGUUACUACGAGUAAACUGACGCUGAUGCACGAAAGCGUGGGGAUCAAACAGGAUUAGAAACCCUAGUAGUCC